rnacentral:rRNA from 1 species
GAUGAACGCUGGCGGCGUGCUUAACACAUGCAAGUCGAACGAUGAAGCCCAGCUUGCUGGGUGGAUUAGUGGCGAACGGGUGAGUAACACGUGAGUAACCUGCCCUUGACUCUGGGAUAAGCCCGGGAAACUGGGUCUAAUACCGGAUAGGAGCGCCUGUCGCAUGACGGGUGUUGGAAAGAUUUUUCGGUCAUGGAUGGACUCGCGGCCUAUCAGCUUGUUGGUGAGGUAAUGGCUCACCAAGGCGACGACGGGUAGCCGGCCUGAGAGGGUGACCGGCCACACUGGGACUGAGACACGGCCCAGACUCCUACGGGAGGCAGCAGUGGGGAAUAUUGCACAAUGGGCGGAAGCCCUGAUGCAGCGACGCCGCGUGAGGGAUGACGGCCUUUCGGGUUGUAAACCUCUUUUCAAGUAAGGGAAGAA